GACGAACGCUGGCGGCGUGCCUAAUACAUGCAAGUUGAGCGAUGAAGCUUGGUGCUUGCCCCAAUUUGAAGAGCAGCGAACGGGUGAGUAACGCGUGGGGAAUCUGCCUUUGAGCGGGGGACAACAUUUGGAAACGAAUGCUAAUACCGCAUAACAACUUUAAACAUAAGUUUUAAGUUUGAAAGAUGCAAUUGCAUCACUCAAAGAUGAUCCCGCGUUGUAUUAGCUAGUUGGUGAGGUAAAGGCUCACCAAGGCGAUGAUACAUAGCCGACCUGAGAGGGUGAUCGGCCACAUUGGGACUGAGACACGGCCCAAACUCCUACGGGAGGCAGCAGUAGGGAAUCUUCGGCAAUGGACGAAAGUCUGACCGAGCAACGCCGCGUGAGUGAAGAAGGUUUUCGGAUCGUAAAGCUCUGUUGGUAGAGAAGAACGUUGGUGAGAGUGGAAAGCUCAUCAAGUGACGGUAACUACCCAGAAAGGGACGGCUAACUACGUG
rnacentral:rRNA from 1 species